rnacentral:misc_RNA from 1 species
GUAGGUGAACCUGCGGAAGGAUCAUUACCGAGUGAGGGCCCUCUGGGUCCAACCUCCCACCCGUGUUUAUUUUACCUUGUUGCUUCGGCGGGCCCGCCUUAACUGGCCGCCGGGGGGCUUACGCCCCCGGGCCCGCGCUCGCCGAAGAUGCUCUCGAACUCUGUUUGAGGAUUGUAGUUUGAGUGAAAAUAUAAAUUAUUUAAAACUUUCAACAACGGAUCUCUUGGUUCCG